rnacentral:rRNA from 1 species
GAGUCACGAAAGCGUAGGGAGCAAACAGGAUUAGAUACCCUGGUAGUCUACGCUGUAAACGAUGCACACUUGGUGUUAAUCGAAAGGUUAGUACCGAAGCUAACGUGUUAAGUGUGCCGCCUGGGGAGUAUGUUCGCAAGAAUGAAACUCAAAGGAAUUGACGGGGGCCCGCACAAGCGGUGGAGCAUGUGGUUUAAUUCGAUGAUACGCGAGGAACCUUACCAGGGCUUGACAUAUACAGGAUAUAGUUAGAGAUAACUAUUCCCCGUUUGGGGUCUGUAUACAGGUGCUGCAUGGUUGUCGUCAGCUCGUGCCGUGAGGUGUUGGGUUAAGUCCCGCAACGAGCGCAACCCUUGUUAUCUGUUACCAA